rnacentral:rRNA from 1 species
UACGUAGGGUGCGAGCGUUGUCCGGAAUUAUUGGGCGUAAAGAGCUCGUAGGCGGUGUGUCGCGUCGGCCGUGAAAACCUGGGGCUCAACUCUGGGCGUGCGGUCGAUACGGGCAUCACUUGAGUUCGGCAGGGGAGACUGGAAUUCCUGGUGUAGCGGUGAAAUGCGCAGAUAUCAGGAGGAACACCGGUGGCGAAGGCGGGUCUCUGGGCCGAAAUUGACGCUGAGGAGCGAAAGCGUGGGGAGCAAACAGG